rnacentral:rRNA from 1 species
AGAGAAGAACAAGGAUGAGAGUAACUGUUCAUCCCUUGACGGUAUCUAACCAGAAAGCCACGGCUAACUACGUGCCAGCAGCCGCGGUAAUACGUAGUGGCAAGCGUUGUCCGGAUUUAUUGGGCGUAAAGCGAGCGCAGGCGGUUUCUUAAGUCUGAUGUGAAAGCCCCCGGCUCAACCGGGGAGGGUCAUUGGAAACUGGGAGACUUGAGUGCAGAAGAGGAGAGUGGAAUUCCAUGUGUAGCGGUGAAAU